AUACGAGGGGUGUAAGCGUUAUUCGGAAUUACUGGGCGUAAAGGGUGCGUAGACGGCGCAUUAAGUCUGUUGUUAAAUUUUUCGGCCUAACCGAAAAGCUGCGACGGAAACUGAUGUGCUAGAGAAUGAGAGAGAGAAGUGGAAUUCCCGGAGUAGCGGUAAAAUGCGUGGAUCUCGGGAGGAACACCAAUGGCGAAGGCAGCUUCUUGGCUCAUUUCUGACGUUGAGGCACGAAAGCGUGGGGAGCAAACAGAAUUAGAAACCCGGGUAGUCC
rnacentral:rRNA from 1 species